AUUGAACGCUGGCGGCAGGCCUAACACAUGCAAGUCGAGCGGAUGAAGGGAGCUUGCUCCUGGAUUCAGCGGCGGACGGGCGAGUAAUGCCUAGGAAUCUGCCUGGCAGUGGGGGAUAACGUCCGGACACGGGCGCUAAUACCGCAUACGUCCAGAGGGAGAAAGUGGGGGAUCUUCGGACCUCACGCUAUUAGAUGAGACUAGGUCGGAUUAGCUAGUUGGUGGGGUAAAGGCCUACCAAGGCGACGAUCCGUAACUGGUCUGAGAGGAUGAUCAGUCACACUGGAACUGAGACACGGUCCAGACUCCUACGGGAGGCAGCAGUGGGGAAUAUUGGACAAUGGGCGAAAGCCUGAUCCAGCCAUGCCGCGUGUGUGAAGAAGGUCUUCGGAUUGUAAAGCACUUUAAGUUGGGAAGAAGAGCAGUAAGUUAAUACCUUGCUGUUUUGACGUUACCAACAGAAUAAGCACCGGCUAACUUCGUG
rnacentral:rRNA from 1 species